CCCACAGGUAAAACUGGCCUGAGAGAACAGAGUUCCACAGUAUCCAUGGAUGGGGAGAGGGCUUUUGGAGGCUUACUUCUUAUAUUCCCAUGGGUCAGGGAGCAUUUUAACAGUCUGUAUCUCCACUGAAUUAAGAUUGUAUCUAAGUCCACAUCUGGACCAGAAAUCUUCAGAGAAAACACGAGUGUUCCAGGGAGGCCAGAGACAUUUACUCCAUUAAUUGAAGACUGAAUGGACAGACCACCGGCCCUGAAGUCAGAAGGACCCGAGUUCAAA